GGUGGCUCAAUGGUAGAGUGCUUGCCUUGCGUGCAUGAGGUCCUAGGUUCAAUUCCUCAGCACCA
rnacentral:tRNA from 1 species